ACCCACCUGAUCCCAUGCCGAACUCAGAAGUGAAACGAAACAGCGUCGAUGGUAGUGUGGGGUCUCCCCAUGUGAGAGUAGAACAUCGCCAGGC
rnacentral:rRNA from 1 species